UCUUGUGGGCCUGCCCACGUUCUCUCAUGUGACCCCACCUUCCCAUUAUUCCUUUCUUUAGAGGCAGAAAGCACCGGAGGAGGAGAAGCUCUGCUUGUUCUGCAUCAAUGGCGCGAGGAGCGUCUACACUAGAGAAGGAGGAAGCUCAAUCAUGUCGAUGCAAUUCGGCCACGGAAAAAAUAAUCGCACGUCCACCAUAUGGAGGAGGAACUGCCCGAGGAGAUUAUCAAUCCGAAGUUCUGCGGCAUAGAUACCUCGUCUGUCCACAGAAGCUUAUCCCUGCUUAUCCUCGCAUCUCACCCUAUCUGCAGCACUAGGACGAACUCUCGGUGAAGUUCCUCGAUCCGGAGUACAUCCGGAGUAUUGCGGGAUAGACAUCUCAUCUGGCCCGUAAGGUUGAUGUCGUCCUAGCAGGUACAGGGAGGAGAUUCCUAGGUUGCGAUUCACUAAUGGAGAAGGCCUACUUAGAUGUAUUGACAGAGAGAAGCAACAUGGAGUUUGACCACUAGCAGCUUGUGAACAAGCUGAAGAACAUAAUAUAUGACAAUAAUUCGCAAUGAAAUUAGGAUGUCAACGAGGUUGGAUUUUCAGACUAAGCAAUGUGUGGCAUCUAAUUCUUCAAUUGUUAUCCUUCCUGCCGUGUUGUCUUAUGUUCGUCCUGUCUACGUAGGAUUUAGUUUAAUGGUUCAGAGUGGCUGUAUCAAUUUCCUAGAUUACCUUGUGUCACUUGUAUCAUUACUACAAAAUAUCAUGUUUUGAUGCACUGGAAUAUGCAUAGUUUAAUACAACCUCGCUCUCAAAAUAAGUGUCUCAAUUUCAGUUUUGAUACACUUAUUUUGGGAUUUAAGGAGUAUGGUACUACAAUUUGGGUAACUGACCAGGAUGUAUUGAGAUUGUGCUUGCGAGCCUGGAUUGAUGUCAUUUUUGUAACUGGACUUAUUCAAUAAAGUUCAGUACAUUCCACUA